ACGUGGGUCACUCAUACUCUUUAGCCAAUCAGAUGCGAGCUCACCAUUCAACCAAUCAUAACCCGCCAAGAGUGCAGCACUCAAGGAGCUCAGCAUUGCACACCUUUUGCGCAAUCAACUGAAAUGAAGCUUCACGUCAUCAACCAAGCAUGGGAACGAAGUGCGGGAUAUACGUAUUGUAUUAAAGGACUCUCGUCAUGUAAUACUGUCACAGAGCAGUUGUUCUUGUGUUGCUGGGACAGCACAUUGUUGCACUACUCAGAGCUCAGUGAAGUUCACAGCUGUACUGAAACGGAGGAGAGCUGACACACCUAGAAAAAUGAUGUUAUGUCUGCAAGACCCAAAGAAAGGAAGCUUGCUGAGGUAUUAAGGAGUACCUUUUAAAAGAGUGUCACCUGUAAGCUGCCUGACCUCACAGUCCUCCAAGUAGCAGAGGCGUUUAAGGACCUUGCCAGUGCUUUAGCCCCUUCGGUCACCACUAUCAGGAUGUCACGUGUCAAUUCUUUGGUGGAUUUUGGCUUUGGCAGAGUUUAGUAUGGAAGUGUGCUGUCAUACCAGCAGCAACAACACGCAACCUUAAUCUCUAUCAAGAUGCCCCAAAACUACAACCUCUGCAACUAUUUGGCUACAGCCUUGACACAUCUGUUUGCUUGUUAGUUAUUUAUAUUUACAUGUUUACAUUUCUGAAGUAUAGGUAGUUAUUUACAGUAUAUUACAUACAUACAAACAU